rnacentral:rRNA from 1 species
ACUCCUACGGGAGGCAGCAGUAGGGAAUCUUCCACAAUGGACGAAAGUCUGAUGGAGCAACGCCGCGUGAGUGAAGAAGGGUUUCGGCUCGUAAAAACUCUGUUGUUAAAAGAAGAACAUAUCUGAGAGUAACUGUUCAGGUAUUGACGGUAUUUAACCAGAAAGCCACGGCUAACUACGUGCCAGCAGCCGCGGUAAUACGUAGGUGGCAAGCGUUGUCCGGAUUUAUUGGGGCGUAAAGCGAGCGCAGGCGGUUUUUAAGUCUGAUGUGAAAGCCUUCGGCUCAACCGAAGAAGUGCAUCGGAAACUGGGAAACUUGAGUGCAGAAGAGGACAGUGGAACUCCAUGUGUAGCGGUGAAAUGCGUAGAUAUAUGAAGAACACCAGUGGCGAAGGCGGCGUGUCUGGUCUG